rnacentral:rRNA from 1 species
UUACUGCUAUCGAGGUUCGACUAAGCCAUGCGAGUCGAAUGUAGCAAUACAUGGCGUACUGCUCAGUAACACGUGGACAACCUACCCUCCGGACGGGUAUAAACCCGGGAAACUGGGUAUAAUCCCCGAUAGAUCUCGGUCGCUGGAAUGCCCCGAGAUCGAAAGCUCCGGCGCCAGAGGAUGGGUCUGCGGCCUAUCAGGUAGUAGUGGGUGUAGCGUACCUACUAGCCUACGACGGGUACGGGUUGUGAGAGCAAGAGCCCGGAGAUGGAUUCUGAGACACGAAUCCAGGCCCUACGGGGUGCAGCAGGCGCGAAAACUUUACAAUGCCGGCAACGGCGAUAAGGGGACCUCGAGUGCCAGGUUACAAAUCUGGCUGUCGCGAUGCCUAAAAAGCAUUGCAUAGCAAGGGCCGGGCAAGACCGGUGCCAGCCGCCGCGGUAACACCGGCGGCUCGAGUGGUAACCGUUAUUAUUGGGUCUAAAGGGUCUGUAGCCGGCCGGA